rnacentral:lncRNA from 1 species
CCCCAUUGUACAUUUGUCUGCUUCAAUCACAAACGUAUUAAUAUCAACUGCUGUAGACCUUUAAAUGGUGACCUCCAAUUCCUACUUUCUUUUAUAUAAGAUGAAAAGAAAUAAUAAGUAUGUUCCACCAUCAUAAUGAUUCUAGAGGUGGAGUUGGAUCAUAAUCUAUAAUGAAGACAGGAAUAUCAUCACCACAGGCUACUAAGGUUAUGUAGUUUGAUAUAUCAUUGUUGCUAAAUCAGAGUUACCUAGGAAGGUACCUCUUUGGUUGUCAAACUAUUGAUGUUGAUGC